rnacentral:rRNA from 1 species
UACGUAGGGGGCUAGCGUUGUCCGGAAUCAUUGGGCGUAAAGCGCGCGUAGGCGGCCAGAUAAGUCCGGUGUGAAAGCCACAGGCUCAACCUGUGAAUGCCGCUGGAAACUGUCUGGCUAGAGUCCGGGAGGGGCGAGUGGAAUUCCUGGUGUAGCGGUGAAAUGCGCAGAUAUCAGGAGGAACACCAAUGGCGAAGGCAGCUCGCUGGAACGGAACUGACGCUGAGGCGCGAAAGCUAGGGGAGCAAACGGG